GGCGAGCCACUCACCAGAGCCGAGGCGCGACGCAGCCCGACUGACGGCAGCGAGCGAGCCUGGCGGGCCGCGCGGGCAGCUAUCAGCCUGGAAGCCUCGGUACGCGGAUCCCUGCGGCUCCCUGCGUGUAGGCAGAAGCCCACACGAGGGGAUGCAGGGAGGCAUCGCGCAAGCCCUGGGCAGGGCAGGCCUCGAGGAGGCGGCGGCGGGGUCCCGCAACCUCCGUGGGCAGCGCCCCUUUGCGAGCACAGCCCGCAGCCUGAACGAAAAAGCCACCCGAGGACCACCUCCUCCUUUCCUGCUGAAAGCAGAAAGGAAAAGCCUAACGGCCUGCUCGCUCUAAGUGUUGCCGGGAUACCCGGAAUCGAGUGCCAGCGGACACCAGCAGGGAGGACGAGCGCCGGCCACGUCCCUCCCCAGACCAGACCCCCUCAGGAGUAGCUUCUGGCAGCCCCUGCAGCAGAGCUUCUUCUCUGCCUUCUCCUGGGGGUGGCGGGAAGCCCAGGUUCGCAAGGUUUUUGAGCUUCCUGAUAGGGAUGCAUCAAAUGCAUCCAGGAUUUUGUAGAAAGCCUCUGGCAGCCCUACUUUUGUCUGACAGUGAAAACAGUGGCGUCGGCUAACAGGUGUUCCCUUUACGUGGUGGCCGCCAGGAAACUUGGAACCAGGUUGAGCGCCCAGUGGUGUCAGCCGGCUCAUCUCAAGCCCAGGUCAGGCUUUCAUCUUCUGCUGCUUAUUCCAGUGUUCAUCCAAUUGUUGGUGUUAAAAUUAAGUUCCCAAGCCAUUUAGCAUCUCUGGAGUUCAAAGCACUGACUGUGCGAAAAGAUGUGCACCUGGCAAAGCCUACACUUAUCAAUCUAAAGGGAGACCCGAGCACUCUGGCACUGUGCCAGCCGACCUGAUUGGAGUUGGGAUCUUGUGAAGGGGUUUUGCCGUUGGCUUUUGAGUUCAGGUCGAAAGACAGAAAGAAGUCGAUGGCUGGACAGCAUCAGCACCAGGAUGUGUGGGCUCAUUCUUGCACACAGGAAGACAGCCCUGGACCUCUCAGGGCAAAAAAAGACUGCCAAGUUAAUGAAGUCAGGUAUUAUCACUAACAUGACUGCGUUUGUAUUCACAGGCGGUGAGACUUAGGGACAUUUGAGUUGCAUCCAAAAUACACGAGAAAAUGAUGAGCGAAAUUGUGUGGGAGUCCAAGGGGUAAAGUGAUUCGCUGUGACCUAGAAUUUGGGCAGUAGGUAACAUUUGCAUUGGAUCUUAACUGGGAAGAAUGGGGCCCUGCAGUCCAGGGAGGGAAGAGCAUAUGCAAUAGUCCAGACGUUGGAGGCAGAUGGCAUUUCAGGCUACCUGAGUUCAUGGUGGGGUAAAAAUAUUUAGUUAGAAAGGAGGA